AGCGAACGUUAGCGGCGGGCCUAACACAUGCAAGUCGAACGCGAAAGGUCUUCGGACUGAGUAGAGUGGCGCACGGGUGAGUAACACGUACAUAACUUACCCUCAAGAGGGGGGUAGCCUCGGGAAACUGAGCGUAAUACCCCAUAGUAUUAUUGAACGGCAUCGUUUGAUAAUUAAAGCUACGGCGCUUGAGGAUAGAUGUGCGUCUGAUUAGCUAGUUGGUAAGGUAACGGCUUACCAAGGCGACGAUCAGGUAGGGGGCGUGAGAGCGUCGGCCCCCCACACGGGUACUGAGACACGGACCCGACUCCUACGGGAGGCAGCAGUAAGGAAUAUUGGUCAAUGCCCGGAAGGGUGAACCAGCCAUGCCGCGUGAAGGAUGACUGCCCUCUGGGUUGUAAACUUCUUUUGGAUGGGAACGAAAAAACGGGAUUUAUCCUGGACUGACGGUACCAUCAGAAUAAGCACCGGCUAACUCCGUGCCAGCAGCCGCGGUAAUGUCUGUACU
rnacentral:rRNA from 1 species